UUAAUGAGAGUUUGAUCCUGGCUCAGGACGAACGCUGGCGGCGUGCCUAAUACAUGCAAGUAGAACGCUGAGGAUUGGUGCUUGCACUAAUCCAAAGAGUUGCGAACGGGUGAGUAACGCGUAGGUAACCUACCUCAUAGCGGGGGAUAACUAUUGGAAACGAUAGCUAAUACCGCAUGAUACUAGAGUACACAUGUACUUAAGUUAAAAGGAGCAAUUGCUUCACUAUGAGAUGGACCUGCGUUGUAUUAGCUAGUUGGUGAGGUAACGGCUCACCAAGGCGACGAUACAUAGCCGACC
rnacentral:rRNA from 1 species